GUACUUAACCUAGCAAGGGAGAUACCCCAGGAUCAUGAAGGUGGAUUCCCCGGAGCAAGGUUCGUUUAUUACACCUGGGAUGUGUUGACCCUAUGAUUUCCCCAAGUGCUGGAAACUUGACUGUACAAUUUGUGGUAGUUGGGGACUGCAUUCACAUUUGUCUUAC